rnacentral:rRNA from 1 species
AUUGAACGCUGGCGGCAUGCCUUACACAUGCAAGUCGGACGGCAGCGCGGGCUUCGGCCUGGCGGCGAGUGGCGAACGGGUGAGUAAUACAUCGGAACGUGUCCAGUAGUGGGGGAUAGCCCGGCGAAAGCCGGAUUAAUACCGCAUACGAUCUGUGGAUGAAAGCGGGGGACCUUCGGGCCUCGCGCUACAGGGGCGGCCGAUGGCAGAUUAGGUAGUUGGUGGGGUAAAGGCCUACCAAGCCGACGAUCUGUAGCUGGUCUGAGAGGACGACCAGCCACACUGGGACUGAGACACGGCCCAGACUCCUACGGGAGGCAGCAGUGGGGAAUUUUGGACAAUGGGGGCAACCCUGAUCCAGCAAUGCCGCGUGUGUGAAGAAGGCCUUCGGGUUGUAAAGCACUUUUGUCCGGAAAGAAAACUUCGGGGCUAAUACCCCUGGAGGAUGACGGUACCGGAAGAAUAAGCACCGGCUAACUACGUG